AUGCCUGGACGUCCUGGGGUGGCCUUGACGGCACUCUACCCUUCGACCUCGGUGGCAGUACACCGGUUAUUGCGCCCUUCGAUAUCGCUGGCGCGUUGCCUUUCGGCUUCGCCGGUGGCACACCGGUGCCACCGCUCAAACUCGGCUAUCCGACGCCCUUCGUUCGCGCCAUUGACGAUUCUUGGUAUGCUUCUACUUUGGUGCCCCUUUCCAAUAGGUAUGUGUCUCAUAGUGGCUCGAGCGAUGUUUACGUGGACAUCUUGGGGGUGGCCUCGGCGGCACUCUACCCUUCGACCUCGGCGGCGGUACACCGGUGUCGUGCCUCCCAGUCUCGGUGGCGUGAUGUCUUUUGGCUUCUCCGGCGGCACACCGGUGUCGCCGCAUGAACUCGGCUAUCCGACGCCCUUCGUACGUGCCAGUGAUGUUUCCCUGCGAGCUGUUGUUUUGGUGCCUGUCAUUUUCUCCCUAGGCCUGUUUGUGGUUCUUUGUCGAUGGUGA
rnacentral:rRNA from 1 species